GUCCCUAUAAUGUGCAAUAUGGAUAGCGCAUUGGACUUCUAAUCCAAAUGUUGUGGGUUGGAAUCCCACCUGGGAUG